UUUUUUUUUUUCUUUUUUUAAAUUAAAUUAAAAUUAAAGUUGAAAUAAAAGUGAAAUUUAAAUUAAAAUUAAAUUUCAAUUAAAAAUAAGAUGAAGUAAAGUAGAAAAUUAACGUUAAAAUUAAAACUAAAAUUAAAAUAUGAAAUGAAAUUAAAAAUUAAAUUAGAAUUAAAGUAAAAAAAAAAAUUGAAAAUAAUCAUUUUUUAAUUUCAGAUUUUUUUUAAAUUUUUUUAAAGUUAAAUGUGAGAAUUUAAUUGAUAAUUAUAUACAUUUUAGUCUUAAUUGUAAAGAUUUGCAAAUUUUAUGAUUUUUUUUUGAUAAUUAAUCCUAAUUUAGAGUUUCUGGUGUAGCUUUUUUAGUGAUAAAAUGACCGUUAAUGUGGAACACCUGUUAAAUAUGCUAAUGAUUUAUUGAUAAUCGAGUCAAUUUGAAGAAUCAAUCAAACUUGAGAGUUUAAUCGAUAAUUAUGUAAAUUUUAGGGUUUAAUUACAAAAAUUGAUAAAUUUUAAAUUUUUUUAUAAUUAUCUAAAUAAAUUAAUUAAAUAUAGAUGAAAAUGGUAUUAACUUUUAAGCAUAAUUUUAUAAUUUUGCUUGGAAAAAAAGCAUAAUUUUCCGAGGUUAUUAUUAAAUUUUAUUUUUUUUAAAAAAAUUCACAAUAACAUUCAUAAAUAGUUAGCUAACUUUUAAAUAUUUAAACUACGUUUAUAUAGCAGA
rnacentral:misc_RNA from 1 species